UGAUCUUAUCUGAGCAGGCGGCGGUGGAGACGGAGGCUGCGGGGAAGAUUGUGAGAAUAAUAUGCUACCCAGCACGCUAAAGUAAUAGCGGAGGCUGCCGGAGGCUCUGAUUUCUUCACAAUUUGUUAAGUCAGUCUUCCCCGGAGCCCCCUUUCACGGCUGUACUGCGAUGAAGACUGCCCGCCAUCGGAGCCUAUUUCAUUUUAAUGUGGCGAUGAUGGUUGCGCGGGCUUUUCCCAAAUCUAUAGUUAUUUUUGCCAGAUUUAUUGUUAGUUCACCUUCUCUGAUAUAUCAUUCAUUAUAUUCUUGUCUGUAGCCGAGCAUCCCUCAAUCGUUAUGUGGGUAGCCCUAUAUUGUUAUGUUAAAACUUUCAGUCGAUGAUAUUCUCCACUUUACCCAGUGGAUAUAUUUUGGAUCCGCAGCUUUAAUUUGUUCAAAUCCUGUCUACUAGCUUAUGUUUGAAUGGAGCUGCUUAUUCUGCAUUUGUUUGAGUCCCAUUCAUUUGAAUAAAUGUGCUAUGGAAUAGAGAUUGACGACGAAUGUGUUGUCAAAAAAGAAAAUAUUUUUUAUUUGCGAAUCUAGGAAUGUGUUGGAUAAAAAUGGGCAUUGUAAAAAAAAAAUGUAAAGUAACUAAUGGCAAAUAUGAGCUUAGGUUCUUUGUCUUUUUUUGUUUGAAAUGAGAUUGUGAUGUGUUAAAACUUUUGAGUCUGUCGAAUACUUGCAUUGCUUAUUUCCCCUUGGAUUUUUAAUUCUUUGUUCCACGUCCUCUUACUGAUUACCAUGUGUAGUAGAGUAGUUCAUUUAAGGUUUGUCUGUCCCCUUUUAAUUUUAAAAAGUGUAUUAUGGAAUAGUUCAAAUGUGUGAUUAAAAAUAAAGAUAAAGUUUUUGAUUUAUGUGUAAUAUUGUUUUAAUUAAGAAUUUAUUGUUGAAAAUGAAUACUGUCACGGAACAGUUGACAAAUAAAGGCUUAAUUCUUUCUUUUUGGUUUCAAUCGAUGUAAACAGAUCGUAGAAAGUGCUUGCACAGCACAACCCCCAAGGCAGUGGGAUGCAGAGCUGCAAAUGUAAAGAUAAUUAGUCACGAGGUUUUAAAAUCAACAUUAUUGAAGAUUGAUUAUCGGGAGGAACUGCAACCAAAGCCACGAAACGAAGUUUAGUGAAAUUGUUCUGUUAAAAAGCACAAGGGUACAACAUCAUUAUCAAGUGAAGUAACCACAUUGAUGUCAACCACAGAACCAAGUAAGUGCAGAUGAGGUCUGAGCUAUUGACAUUUCACAUGUAGACUUGUUAAGGUUGAGAUUGUAUAAUAGUAAAGGGACUUUAGGAUGGAUGACUAAACUGGCAAACCAUUAGCCCUUGUUCGAGCUCCAUUUUUUCAUUAAAAUAUAUUUUCAAUGGUGAUUUGAUUUCAA